rnacentral:rRNA from 1 species
GAUGAACGCUAGCGGCAGGCCUAAUACAUGCAAGUCGGACGGGAUUCCGGAGCUUGCUUCUGAUGAGCGUGGCGCACGGGUGCGUAACACGUAUGUAACCUACCUUUAUCAGGGGGAUAGCCUCUCGAAAGAGAGAUUAAGCCCGCAUAAAAUCACAGCACAGCAUUGUGUAAUGAUCAAAUAUUUAUAUGUUAAAGAUGGGCAUGCGCAGCAUUAGCUAGAUGGCGGGGUAACGGCACACCAAGGCGACGAUGUGUAGCGGAUCGGAGAGGAUGAGCCCCCCCCCCACACUGGUACUGCGACACAGACCAGACUGCUACGGGAGGCAGCAGAAAGGAAUAUUAGGGAAUGAGGCGUGGCCUGACCCAGCCGCGCCACUUGCAGGAAGACGGCGAUACGGGUUGUAAGCUGCUUGUAAACGACAAUAGACCCAGAUACGUGUAUCUGGCUGAAUGUACUGUAAGAAUAAGGAACGGCUAACUCCGUG